rnacentral:misc_RNA from 1 species
CAUCUGCCUGUAGAGAAAGUGAAGAAAAAGGAAUGAAAAAAUUUGUUGAAAUUUAUUCUCUUGAAGUGUUCAAUUUACUAACGAAUGAAAUUUUUGAAAAUAUUAAUUGAGACUUCAAAACCCCGAUUAGUCAAAGAGAAUUCUUGUCUAAACCUAAUUUAUUAUGAAUUCAAUAUAUAAAUAAGUGAGAUUCAUGUAUUUAAUAAUUAGGUCUCACCACACAUCUUAUAUCUUAGAUCUAUGGUGGACUGGAUCUAAAUAAGAAAAAAAAUCCAAUAUGCCUAAAGAGCUUUAAUUUCCAAGAGAUUAA